GCCUGGGUGGUGUAGCGGUAACACGGUCGGCGGGCAUUCAACAGCCUUCUUGAACUUUAACCAAUGAUCCCCUGUUCGACUUGGGGUCUGGGCU